rnacentral:rRNA from 1 species
UACGUAGGGGGCUAGCGUUGUCCGGAUUUAUUGGGCGUAAAGAGCUUGUAGGCGGUUUGUCGCGUCUGCUGUGAAAUUUCGGGGCUCAACCCCGAACUUGCAGUGGGUACGGGCAGACUAGAGUGUGGUAGGGGAGACUGGAAUUCCUGGUGUAGCGGUGAAAUGCGCAGAUAUCAGGAGGAACACCGGUGGCGAAGGCGGAUCUCUGGGCCGUAACUGACGCUGAGGAGCGAAAGCAUGGGGAGCGAACAGG